rnacentral:rRNA from 1 species
CAGCAGCCGCGGUAAUACAGAGGGUGCGAGCGUUAAUCGGAUUUACUGGGCGUAAAGCGUGCGUAGGCGGCUUCUUAAGUCGGAUGUGAAAUCCCUGAGCUUAACUUAGGAAUUGCAUUCGAUACUGGGAAGCUAGAGUAUGGGAGAGGAUGGUAGAAUUCCAGGUGUAGCGGUGAAAUGCGUAGAGAUCUGGAGGAAUACCGAUGGCGAAGGCAGCCAUCUGGCCUAAUACUGACGCUGAGGUACGAAAGCAUGGGGAGCAAACAGGAUUAGAGACCCCAGUAGUCCCUGUCUCUUAUAC